AUUGUUUUUUCUGGAAUGUUUUUCUGGAGCCACUUUUGGGUGGAUUUGUCCAAUUAAUACUUCCCAAAAAUCCCUUAAAAAUGGGAUUUGGGGCAGGAUUGGGCUCCUGGGAUUAUUUUUCCCGGGAUAUUUCGCUCCUGGAGCCGCUUUGACGGAUCCUGCCUCAGUUUCCCCCCCUCCCUCCUUCCCAAGAGGCGGAACCGGGCGGGAUUUGGGAUCCGGGAGCGGCCCGGGGCCCUUCCCGGGGGUUCCUCCCGCUCCAGGGAGGGAAUUCCGGCUGUUCCCGGAUGCGGGAAUUCCGGGGGAUUCCGGCGCCGCUCCCGCUGCCUUCCUCCCCCCCGCACUAACCGAGCUCUUCCUCUUCCUUCUCUCUUGCAGCCGAAGCUCCCGGGAGCGUCCCCGGGGGAGCCCCCGGCCCCGCUGCCUUCCCAGAUUUCCCAGAUUUCCCAGAUUUCCUCCCAGAUCCCCCAAAUCCCCUCCCGGCCGCCCUCCCGGCCGCCCUCCCGGCCGCUCUCCCGGCCGCCCUCGGAGCCGCCGCCGGGGCUGUUCCCGGAGCAUUCCCAGUCCCCGCAUUCCCAACAUUCCCAACAUUCCCAGCAGCAUUCCCAACCCUCCCAGCCCUCCCAGCCCUUCCCGCUGCCGCUGCUGCCCCCGGAGCAUUCCCGGAGCUUCCCGCUGAUCCCGGGAGCUUUCCCGGCCCCGCCGAAGGCCGGCCCCGAGCGCUUCCAGCAGGUGCCCCAGGGGCUGCUCCUGCAGCCGAAGCCGCCCCCGUCCAGCCCGGCGCCGUUCCCGGCUCCGGCCGCUCCCGUCCUGCUGCCGGCGGCUCCGGGAACGCCCGGCCCGGCCCUGGCGGCCGCCGGCGCCGCCGCCUCAGGUGGGUCCGGAGCGCCGACAUCCCAAAUCCCCAAAUCCCCAAAUCCCGUCGCCGCCGUUCCCAAUUUCCCGGUGCCAAGAUCCCAUUCCCGGAGCCAUUCCCGGUUUCCUGGUGCCAUUCCCGGUGCCAUUCCCGGUUCCAUUCCCGGUUUCCUGGUGCCAUUCCCGGUGCCAUUCCCGGUGCCAUUCCCGGUUUCCUGGUGCCAUUCCCGGUGCCAUUCCCGGUGCCAUUCCCGGUUUCCUGGUGCCAUUCCCGGUGCCAUUCCCGGUUUCCCAGAGCCAUUCCCAUGUCCCCAUUCCCAAUUUCCUGAUGGAGUUCCUGGUGCCAUUCCCGGUGCCUUUCCCACUUUCUCAUUCCCGGUUUCCCAAUGCCAUUCCCGGGUUCCCAUUCCUAAUUUCCCAGUUUCUCGGUUUCCCAAUUUCCCGGUUUCCCAUUCCCGGUAUCCCAGUUUCCCAAUUUCCCGGUUUCCCAAUUUCCCAAUUUCCCAUUCCCGGUUUCCCAAUNNNNNNNNNNGGUUUCCCAAUUUCCCAAUUUCCCAUUCCCGGUUUCCCAAUUUCCCAAUUUCCCAUUCCCAGUUUCCCGAUUUCCCAUUCCCCGUUUCCAAUUUCCCAAUUCCCCAUUUUCCCAUUCCCAAUUUCCCAUUCCCCAUUUCCCAUUCCCCAUUUCCCAUUCCCGAUUUCCCGAUUUCCCAUUCCCGUUUCCCGCAGGCGCGGCGGCGGAGCCGAAGCCGUUCUGCAGCGCCGGCGCCGCCCUUCCCGUGGCCGUUCCGGCCGUUUCCGUUCCCGUGGCCGUUCCGGCUGUUUCCGUUCCCGUGGCCGUCGCCGUUCCCGGCGGGAAAUCGGCGCCGCCUCCCGGCAAGGCGGGGCCGCCCCUCCCCCCCCAGCCCGGCCAGGCGAAGCCGGGCGGGAUCAAGGCCCCCCCCCAACCCUCGGGGGGGGGGGAAGGGCCCCCAGGCCCCGCCCACGCUGGAGCCGAAGGCGCCGCUGAAGAAGGCGCCGCUGCUGCAGCCCAGCAAGGAGGCCUGGUAAGGAGCCGGAAUUCCCGGAAUUCCCACUGGAAUUCCCACUGGAAUUCCCGCCGGAAUUCCCGCGGGGCGGGCGGGGCUGCACCAAAAACGCCGAUUUUGGCCAAAUCUCUGCCCAAAACGGGGCAUUUUGGCCGUGUUUGUGCCGAAAUUACCAAUUCUGGCCAUAUUUGUGACCAAAAUGUGGAAUUCUGGCCGUGCUUUUGGCAGAAAUGAGGAUUUUUGUCCGCGUUUGUGCCCAAAGUGGGGAAUUUUGUCCCAUUAGAACCAAAAAUGUGGAGUUUUCUCCAUUUUUCCCCCAAAAAUACUAGUUUUCAACCCAAACAGUUGAUUUUUUCCCAAACCCGCGGUUUCUCACCCCAAACCAUUGAUUUCUCUCCGUUUUGCCCAAACCCGCAGUUUUUCACUCCAAACCGUUGAUUUUCACCCCGUUUUGCCCAAACCCGCGGUUUCUGACCCCAAACCUGUUGGGUUUUACCCCUUUUUGCCCAAACCCGCAGUUUCCCACCCCAAACCAUUGACUUUUUCCCAAACCCGCCAUUUCUCACCCCAAACUGUUGAUUUUUGCCGCGUUUUUGCCCAAACCGGCCAUUUCUGACCCCAAACCGUUGAUUUUCACCCCGUUUUUCCCAAACCUGCCGUUUCUCACCCCGAACUGUUGACUUUUGCCCAAACCCUCAGUUUCUGCCCCCAAACUGUUGAUUUUUGCCCAAAACCACCGUUUCUCACCCUGAACCAUUGAUUUUUGCCCCGUUUUUCCCAAACCCGUGGUUUCUUCCCCUAAACCGUUGGUUUUUUUCCCAUUUUGCCCAAACCCACGGUUUCUGACCCCAAACCAUUGAUUUUCAUCCCUUUUUUCCCAAACCGGCCGUUUCUCCCCCCAAACCGUUGAUUUUUGCCCAAACCGGCCGUUUCUCACCCCGAACCGUUGAUUUUUUUCCCAAACCCGCAGUUUUUCACCCCAAACCGGCCGUUUCUGACCCUGAACCGUUGAUUUUCACCCC
ensembl:lncRNA